rnacentral:rRNA from 1 species
AAAGGAAUUGACGGGGGCCCGCACAAGCGGAGGAACAUGUGGUUUAAUUCGAUGAUACGCGAGGAACCUUACCUGGGCUUAAAUGCAGGACGGCGUUUCGGGAAACCGGAAUUCCCUUCGGGGCGGACUGCAAGGUGCUGCAUGGUUGUCGUCAGCUCGUGCCGUGAGGUGUCGGGUUAAGUCCCAUAACGAGCGCAACCCUUAUCGUUAGUUGCCAGCGGGUAAAGCCGGGGACUCUAACGAAACUGCCGGUGUAAACCGAGAGGAAGGUGGGGAUGACGUCAAAUCAGCACGGCCCUUAUGUCCAGGGCUACACACGUGUUACAAUGGCCGGUACAGAGGGCAGCUACCUGGUGACAGGGUGCAAAUCUCGAAAGCCGGUCCUAGUUCGGAUUGAAGUCUGCAAUUCGACUUCAUGAAGCUGGAUUCGCUAGUAAUCGCGCAUCAGCCACGGCGCGGUGAAUACGUUCCCGGGCCUUGUACACACCGCCCGU